rfam:Nematostella vectensis strain CH2 x CH6 NEMVEscaffold_124_Cont14261, whole genome shotgun sequence.
ACCUCUGUAACUCAGUGGUUAGAGCACUGGUCUUGUAAACCAGGGGACCAGAGUUCAAAUCUCUGCAGGGGCU